AAAGUUUUAAUAAGAGAGUUCUGCCCUGCUUUACUCACCUGCCCGCCCAGUCCUUCUACCAUCUGUGCUUUUUAUUUCCUUAUAUAGACCCAAGGACGGGUGUGCCCAAGAGCACAGAAGGUGCCAGGAAGGGACAAUGUUAAAGAGGUUUACAUGCCAAAUGACUGGAUCAAAAAGGGAGGAAAGGCCAUCACAGCACACCAUUAGCACAGGCUGCAUUUCUGGGGAAAAAGGU
rnacentral:lncRNA from 1 species